rnacentral:lncRNA from 1 species
CGGGUGGCGGCGGUCGGCUCCCUGGCGGUUGGGCUGUCUUCUCCAGCGAGGGGCUCUGGCUGCUAGGGUUAGGGUUUGGGUGCGAAUGGGGUUAUUUAUACCUGUCCGCUUUUGAUAUGGGCCGUCCAUCACUUUUGAUCUAAAACGUCCGAUCGCGAUUAAAUAAGGAGUAAAUCUAGACCGUUCAUCGUGAUUCAAUCUAGACCGUCUGUGUACGAUUCAAUCUGGGCCAUCCGUGCACGCGGGAACGGAUCUCAGCUGUUCAAUUGCGCGCACGCAGAUCGCCCACGUGGCCUCCCGUAUCAGUGCCUCUGCCACCUGGCGCGUUUUGGUUGGUCGGGGCUGAUGACUGGGCAUCUGAUGUGGCGCAAUUUUUCUAAAUUACAUCUUAACCCAUGGUUUCUGAUAUUUCUUUCAAAAAUACCCCAAGAACCCAAAGUUUCACCAUUUUUUUCCAAAUUUAUUUU